GGGUGGCUGCGGCGGCUCAGGGGCUGCUCCCGGGUCGCUGUCGGUCUGAGUGAGGAGGCGCCNGUGGUGACGCGGUGGUGACGCGGUAGUGACGGGUGGUGACGCGGUGACGACGUGAUGAUGCCGCGGUGAUGACGCGGAGAGGACGCGGUGGUGACGGUGGUGUCGCGGUGGUGUCGCGGUGGUGUCGCGGUGGUGACGCGGUGGUGACGCGGUGGUGACGCGGAGAGGACGCAGUGAUGACGCGGAGAUGCCGGGGUGAUGAUGCUGUGAUGACGCAGUGGUGACGUGCAGACUUGGCGGAGAGGAUGCGGAGAUGCUGCAGUGAUGACGCGGUGAUGACGCGGUGAUGACGCAGGAAUGACGCAGGAAUGACGCAGCGCCUCUUCUGGACCGGCCCGGGUGGAAAGGGCCGCGGUGGGCUCCGCUGGGAGGCCCCGUGGAGUGAGGCCCCCGCAGCACCAGCAUUUGGAAACCCAUCUGCCCGGCGGGAGGGCCGCCCCAAGGUGCCUGGGGGGCCCCCAGCCCGGCGAGGCUGCAUGGAGUGUGCACCCCGAGGCUGGCGACCCCACGCAACCAGGUGCGUCCAGGGUGGGGCUCACCUCCCCCUCCCACCACCCAGAGGUGCCCGGCCUCCUGGACCCCAACCUCCUGGACCCCGACCUCCUGGACCCCAACCUCCUGGACCCCGACCUCCUGGACCCCGACCCACCAUGGCCUGCACAAUGCUGAGGGGGAAGGCAGCAAAACCCCCAACCCCGCAAGCGAAGACGGGCUGGGAGCCGGCCAGAGGGUGUCGGCAGCCCACAGCCGCCCCGGGAAGCCCAGCGCCCUCGGCCGAUGCCCACCCGGAGCCCUCGCUCCCGCUCCCUGCCCCCUCCCGCCCCGGCCCCUGCACCCGCAACCGUGUGCCGCAAUCGGCCCGAGAAGAACGAGGCACAGAAGGCGGAGGACAGCGGGGGUGCUCAGAAGCCCGCAGUGGAGCUGGCGGAGCAGCUUCAGUGGCUCAGUGGCCUUCGCCGCGUACUUUGGAGAAGCACCGAGCCGGGCGUCCGAGCUGCCCGGCGGUGGUUCACUGGGGCCGGUUCUCGGCACGUCUUCCACUCCCCGGCUGAGCUGGUUUCAGGGUGAAGUUCAGGGGUCGACAAGACGUCCAAGCAACAAGCCCAUGAGGACCCGACGUCUUCCCUGGAGUUUACGCAUUUGCAUGACACAAAACUUCAACCACAAGACACCACCUUUGUCCUUAAAAUAAGGGUCAUCCUCUGUGAGGCAGAGCCGUGGGGCCCGUGGCCUCACCUGGUGUCUGGCAGGUGUCCUGCCUGCAGCCGAGGCGAGAGCCCAGCCAGGUGAGCAGCUCUGCUCCUCCAGUAGGUGGGGCCAAGGGGGACUUGUUUGGGGGACAAGCUGCACAGGUGCUGGAGGGAGGUGGGCGGGGGAGGCCGGGCCUGGCCCGGGGCCCUUGUGUGUGGACAAGGCGACUCGGGGUGACGGUCAGUAGCCGUCUAGUACAGAGCAGCCAGGUGACCUACACUCGAUGCCCACGACGACAAUUGGAGUGAAGAGAAUAUUGUGCGGAAGCUGGUUCGUCGCAGAGGAGGGCGCUGGGGAGGAGGACGCGGUACGGGAACAACGUUGUAUGGUGGGAGGCGGGACGUUUGGAGUUAAGGUCCCCACGUCGGGAUAAGCGCAUGGACUGAGAAGGAGUAAUGUAUUCUUCUGGUUGUUUUUCCACCGAGAGGCCUUGCGAGCGUCCUCCCCCAGGACGAGGGCGCAGCCUGGAUCGCAGACCGAGCCCGUGCCGUGCUGUCCCCUGAAGCCAGCGGGCGCCCCAGUGGCUGACGUGGAGGAAGCCAGUCUGUGCCUGGAAUUGCACGUUGUCCCAGGAGGGGGAGGCCAAGGGGACUCGGGUGGGCAGCAGGCAUCCAGCUGGAGGGCUGCCGCCAGCAGGCGGGCGGUGUGACGCCGCGGGGGGGACGGCUGGGCCACGCAGGUCCAGCGGAGGCUCGCGCCCCCGAGGGCACCGGAAGGAGCGAGGGGGCGUGACCAGGGGUUGUGGGGCCGUUUUUCUGGGAUGUUGUGCACCUGGCAGUGUGGAGGCCGAGAGGAUUAGGGCCAUUCAAGGUCAACAUUGCACAAGCACAGCCAUUGCAGCCUCGGCAGCCGUCCCCAGCCGCCGUGACCAGGUGCUGAAUCCACCUUCCCCGCCAAGCAUGCCCUUAUCAGAAUAAGGAAGCAAGAGCUUUGAGACCUCUUUACUGGAGGUUCUCACACCCCCGCCCUUACUGAAAACCCCCACCUUAUCCCUAGACCAGCCCAUAAAAACCCAGCUGGAACCCCCCUCGGGGUCCAAGUCCCCGCUCCGCUGUGUGGGGUGCACUUGGACCCAAGCUCGAGCUUGUUAAUAAACCCUCGUGGGCUUGCA
rnacentral:lncRNA from 1 species